rnacentral:rRNA from 1 species
AAGCUUGAAUCCCACUGACCUCUCCCAAAUCAAAUAUUUCCCUUCGGGGACAGUGGUGACAGGUGGUGCAUGGUUGUCCUCAGCUCGUGUCGUGAGAUGUUGGGUUAAGUCCCGCAACGAGCGCAACCCUUGCCUUUAGUUGCCAGCAUUAAGUUGGGCACUCUAGAGGGACUGCCGAGGAUAACUCGGAGGAAGGUGGGGAUGACGUCAAAUCAUCAUGCCCCUUAUGCUUAGGGCUACACACGUGCUACAAUGGGUGGUACAGAGGGUCGCCAAGCCGUGAGGUGGAGCUAAUCCCUUAAAGCCAUUCUCAGUUCGGAUUGUAGGCUGAAACUCGCCUACAUGAAGUCGGAAUCGCUAGUAAUCGCGGAUCACCACGCCGCGGUGAAUACCUUCCCGGGUCUUGUACACACCG